AGCUACCAUCAGGGGUGGGACCUCUCUCCUCCACUGUCCUUCACCAAUGUCAUUACCUUAAUCACUUUUCUGGGAGUCAUGUUGGUCCAGGCUUAGAUACAAUAGUCACAUUUUAAUGAUCCAGGACACAGUUGGGUCAUUUCCUUUAUUCUCCUGGCCUUAAGAACGCCCUUGUCAGGCUGGAAGCACCUUCAGAAGUUGCUGCUUGCAAACUCUAGAUGCCCCAGGCUUUGCAGGCUAUUGAGGUGCCAGAGGAGUAAUGACCAGGUUCAACUCCAGCGGCUGCUUAGUUUCUGUGCUAUUCAAAGGAACAGGAACCGCCAAUACCAUAAAGCAAGGCUCAAACCAGAGAAGAAAUACCACAGAGAAGGCAAAUGGCCCCAGGAGAAGGCCUCGCUGCCCUGAGGUAGCCAGCUGGAGUCUGACCACCUUCCUCUUUUCCUAUCUUCUGCUCUCAACCUUGGGCUGGUCUUGGCUCUCAUGUCCUUUGGGGACCUCUUCUGGCCUCUCCAGACUUACUUAGAUCAGGACUUGAAGGUGCAACCAAAAUACCCAUCAAUCUCUGUGCUGAGGCUACUAGACACUUGGCCAGCAAGCAAGCCACGUCCGACUCCUCAGCGUGGGCUCCAGAAUUGGUUUCAAAAAUCAAUAUCCUUCUAGGAAUGGGCACCAGGGGCUGGAUGCGGUCAUCACAGCACAGGCCAUUUGGGGUGUCCGGCGCUAUGAAACAACGAUGAAGAAGAUGACCGGCUAGGCAGGGUUCGGGACAGCUGACACCAGAGCAUGCUUGGAAAGACCAAGCCAGUUACAAGGUGUACCCAAUCAGGAGGCUCCAAAAUGUGACACGGAUUUGCGUUUUCUUUUGAUUCCUUCCUGGUGGUUUUACGUAAGAGGCAGCGCGUUGGGGCCAGGAAGGGACGGAACCAUGGGGCUGGGUUUACACCAGCUAUGCGAAGCCCCUCCGCUCUGCCCCCGCCUGCGAGGGGCUUUCUUGGCUGGCUGCAGAGGCGGGCCGGGUUCUGUCGGUGCCAAGUCCCUCAGAGCGGGCACUGUGGGGACACGGGAGGCACAAGAAGGCUGCAGAGGAGGCAGAAGACAGUUGGCAGCGCUGCGGCACAGAGGACAGCCUGGGAGCGGGCGGAUGUAGCCAAGGCCAGCACGGAACAGACCUUCAGUAUAGGGUCUGGACUCAAGGAGCUGGGCAGGACUCCAUCCCCACCUCUCAGAACCUCUCCAGGAAGUGCACCGUCUGCUUCUCCUGAAAGAAGCAGUUCUAAUACACAGAGGAAGAUACCAGGCCCCACCUUGCCUAUCCACCACGAGUCAGGCUCAGAGGUAGCCUGCACAGUGGCACUGGACCUGUAG
rnacentral:lncRNA from 1 species